rnacentral:lncRNA from 1 species
CACGAAUGAAGAGUUGGGAGCAAGCAUUAUGUCUGUAGGGUAAGAAUUAUUCGUGAAGGCCAAGUAAAUUUCCUCUAGAAAUCAAAUACUCAAUCUUCUAUUAUAAAAGUAAGGAUCUUAUAAAACUAAGUGAUCUUAUAAAACUAAGGAUCUUAUACAACUAAGGAUAUUAUAAAGUAGAGAAAACAUAUCCAAUAUGCACUAUGUGAUUGCUGAAUGCAAAAAAUUUGACAAAAUUACUCAAAAAGCAUAAGCAGCAAGUACAUCAACACUGAAGGAUCUCAUAAAUAAAGAUUGAAAUACACCAACCUUUUACAAGAUUGACGUUUUGAGUUGAUAGUUCGUCAAAAUAUAAUAUUUCCUCCAUUCCUAAAAGAUUGAGUUUUAGAAAGUAAUUUUUGUUCUUAAAAGAUUGAUAUAAUAUCUCUACUUUCUCCUAUUUAAAGCUUUCUCCUAUUUAUAAUAUCUCUACUUUAUUCUUAUUUAAAGCUUUCUCCUAUUUAUUGUUGAAUAUAGCAUUGGGAUACAAAGUAUAAUUAAUUGAAUGGUAUACUCCUUUUUGGAAUCUACCAAGAUAAUAAUUGGCUGAGACAAUUAUAACAAGGGUAGUACAGUACUUUCUAUAGAUCUUAAGUUCAUUCCUUAAUCUAUGUGAAUAAACUUUAAACGGCAAUCUUUUAGAAACAGAGGGAGUAGUUGGUAAUUAUAAAUUGUUGAAAAAUGACAACUUAUUGACUAAUUUAGUAAUUACUUUUGAAAAAAAUAGAAAAAACUUAAUAAUAAAUUAGACAUGUUUUGAAUUUCUUUCUCUUUAUUUUUAAACAAAAAAGAAAUAUAAAAAUGAUUCUUACUAUUCUUUUCUUAGACAAAGUAACCACUUUUUUUUUAUAAUAGUAAUAAAAAAAGACAAUGAAAAUAUAAAAGAUGUUAAAAAGUCUAUUAAUAUUGAUAAACCGUAAGUAAUUUUAAAAAAAGAUAAUACACUUAAUCUAUGUAUAUGUGUGUUUGUAUGACAGAAGGAUCUCAUAAAUAAAGAUUGAAGUACGCCAACCUUUUACAAGGGGUUCCAACUUGGACUGCAACUAAUCAAUGUUUUUUUACAGGUAAUCCAUGCAAUAUAUAAGGCUUAUAUGACGAGGUCAGUUAAAGCAACUAUGUUGAUUAUAUCACGUUCUAGUCUAAUUUUUUGAUGAUGACUUAUUCAUUGGUACUAAAUUCUUCAUUAUGAAUUUCAGGAAAUUGUUUCAAGAAUUGUAUGAUGGAUUAUUCAAGAAGAAUGAAGACAUUUUGAGUCUUAAGAAAAAUAUGUAAGGUCAUUGCAAAUAUUUAAUUUUUCAAUUCAAGGCUCUAGGACAUUUUAGGUGUGCAUUUAAGUUGAUUAAAAAAAUUAAUGUUUCGUACAUGCUUAAUUUUAUGCUAACUGUUAUUACAUGAUUUAUUAUUAUACAUGCGUAAAAUGAUAAUUAUCCAGUUUAAUUGAAUUAUAUUACAUGUGUUAUAAGAGAGUUCUGAUUCUAUAUAAGCUGUAUAACAUGUGUGUAAUUUGUUGGAAGCACUAAAGCUUGUGGCGGUAAAGAUGUGAUCAUUAUCUGUUAGUUGAAUUAAAUACCCAAGUCUUGGGAAUAUAAGAUAAUGAUUAUCCUAGAGAGUUGUGUGAUAUUACACUUUCUUAUAUUUACAAAGUUAACACUCCAUUAUUUUUUGAAAGGCAGUAAUAUCUCUUAAACAAUUGUGGCGACAGUUUGUUUUUAAUCAUAUUUGCUACAGGUCUAGUCCUAUUUGACUUGGUCUCUAUCUAGAUUAUUUUUGAGAGAGUCUAACAUUUAUCCGAAGGUUAUUGGAUUUGUUAUGUUUAUUUUCAACAGAAAAUCAUUGGAACGUUGCAUUUUUAUUUUCAACGUAAAUUUUUAUGAAGCAACGGUAAUAUAUUUUCUGGUCUAUAAAAGGAACUAAGAUCAGUAUUGAAAACAACACUUACAACACUUAAAUUAAUAUUUUUGCACUCAUAUACUUUGGAAGCUAUUCUAUUCUUGGUGCAAAUUUUGAGCUGCUGAUCAAUUGAUAUUUUCAGUCAACUUUCAUGAGCUUCAUAUUGGUGAUAUCUAUCUUUUAUUACUUGAUCAUUGCAUUCACUAGUUGAGUCUUGCAUUGUUAAAUUGCUUAUUUGCUUUGAUCAUUAGACCUCUAUUAUUGUAAUCUUAAUUUGUUUUUAGACUAAGUGUUGUCUAAGGGAACAUAAUCCAGGUGGAUUAAGGUUUGUUUACAAACAGGUUCAAGGAAGCAUAGGUGCUUAAGGAGUGCAUUGGUGCACAAGGAGCAAGAGUGCUCAAGUGAAUUUUUGUAAUUCAAUUUUAUAAAAUCUGUUUUGUAACAAGAGUAUUUUAAAGAAAUAAAAGUGAGUCUCCAAUACUAGUUGGUAUUGGACGUGGAGUAGGCUAUAAUUAUAGAGGGUAAUAGUCGAACCACGUAAAAGAUCUUGGUGUUAAUUUUUUUAUUACUUGCUUUAACUUAAUAUUUCUAAAGCUAAUUGAAUUGCUUAAUAAAUAGAAUUUAUUUAUUUGUUACAUCGUGAGAAUUUGUGUUAACAUUAAAUAUUCUGUUUAACUUAUAAAAUCACCA